GUGCUAGGCAACUGAGGAAGCUCAACAUCUAAAAAAAUUGAUACAAGACUAUUCUGCUUCUUUCAUCAAAGUAGGAGAUAAGAUGAAUCCUGAUCAUAGUUGGAUGUAUAAUAGAAACAAUCCUGGUCGAGCGGGUAUGAUUCCAGAAUU